rnacentral:rRNA from 1 species
GACGGGGGGGGCAAGUGUUCUUCGGAAUGACUGGGCGUAAAGGGCACGUAGGCGGUGAAUCGGGUUGAAAGUGAAAGUCGCCAAAAAGUGGCGGAAUGCUCUCGAAACCAAUUCACUUGAGUGAGACAGAGGAGAGUGGAAUUUCGUGUGUAGGGGUGAAAUCCGUAGAUCUACGAAAGGAACGCCAAAAGCGAAGGCAGCUCUCUGGGUCCCUACCGACGCUGGGGUGCGAAAGCAUGGGGGAGCGAACAGG